rfam:Myotis davidii contig184644, whole genome shotgun sequence.
AUCGCCAUCUUACUGGGCAGCAUUGGAUGGUGUCAGGUCUCUAAUACUGCCUGGUAAUGAUGACGGC